rnacentral:rRNA from 1 species
CCUACGGGAGGCAGCAGUGGGGGAUAUUGGACAAUGGGGGGAACCCUGAUCCAGCGACGCCGCGUGAGUGAAGAAGGAUUUCGGGAUGUAAAGCUCUGUCAGCAGGGAAGAAAGAAAUGACGGUACCUGACCUAGAAGCCCCGGCUAACCACGGGCAAGCGGCCGCGGGAAGACGUAGGGGGCAAGCGUGAUCUGGAAUUAAUGGGUGUAAAGGGAGCGUAGACGGUUAAGUAAGUCUGGAGGGAAAGGCCGGGGCCCAACCCCGGGACUGCCCUGGAUACUGUUGAGCUUGAGUGCAGGAGAGGUAGGCGGAAUUCCUAGUGUAGCGGUGAAAUGCGUAGAUAUUAGGAGGAACACCAGUGGCGAAGGCGGCUUACUGGACUGUAACUGACGUUGAGGCGCGAAAGCGUGGGGAGCAAACAGGAUUAGAUACCCCUGUAGUC